rnacentral:rRNA from 1 species
AUGGCAGACGAUCCUAAUCAAAACUUCGGGCCGUUUUCGCAGCCGUUCUGCAGCCAGAAUGUGGUUUCAUUUCAGACGAGCGCGACGCCUAGCGGGUCGGGAGGCAGCAUGCCGGUGUACCUAGACUGCUCCAGCAGCAUGGGUUCUAACAUGGGGAUGAUGAACACCACGCCUUCAGUAGCUGUCUCCACAAGUUCAUCCAACAUGGUUGCUGAAUCUGCGCAGAACCUCAAAUAUGGAGGACCCCUGGCUGAAAGCUGGUCGCAUCUCGAGAUCCAAGUGCUGAAAGAUUGCCUAGAUAGAUAUGUGAAUGAACAUGGUAUCAUGAAGUACAUAAAGAUAGCCGCUUCCCUACCAACCAAGACGGUGAGGGACGUUGCGAUGAGAUGCCAAUGGAUGGGGAACAAACAAACUACAAGACGGCGGAGGCCUGCAGAACAUCAUAGCAGAAAAAUGAAAGAUAGAAAGGAUAAAAUGGUGGGGCCUUCAUCCUGGGGUACCACUCAUCCUAUUCAGACGGAUACAGGGAUCUCUUCCUUUGUGCCGCAUCAUGCCAUUCAAAACAGUCAAUAUCUAUCUGGAGCCUCGGAGAUGGAUCGUAUAGUACAGCUUGUACUGGAAGAAAAUAAUCGGCUUCUUACUCAGAUAGACACAAAUAUUCAAGCAUUUCAGGCUCAAAAUAACAUCGAUCUCUUCAAUCGCGUGCGAAGGAACAUUGAUGGCCUCUUGAAAAUCAUGAGCCAAAUGCCGGGAAAAAUGAGUCAGAUGCCUCAGUUGGGAGUUGCGGUGAAUGAAAACCUUGCCAGUUACUUGCUCCCAGAUCUUACAAUGGCACAAGUUCUUGGAAAUAGCCAUUUGAAGGAGGAGCCAAGAGGAUGGUGA